CCCGAGGCACAGCCACGGGGGAAUGACAAAGCUGGUGGGACCCCAUGGACCGGUUCGACUGCCUCGUAAGAGCAUCCGCUUUGGCAAAUGUUAUGGUCCAUGGGGCCCCGAUUGCAUACCAAAACAAGAUUGCAAAUAUUUUACAUGAUCACCAUCUAGUUUUAUUUAGAAAAUUGUAAAAAAUGCCCUGCAUUUCACCAAUGAAUACAAGCAAGCACGUAACAUGUAUAAAAUAUGUACAUUAUCCACAUGGGAGCACAAACAUGAUGUUUGGUUUUAGGCCCAAUAUUUGCCGAGACCCAUAUCGAUAUCUCUCGCACAAAAUGUAGCUUUCAAGUAUUUGAGGUCUGCUUUUCAUUUUUAUCCUUGGCAUUCCACCGUUCCCCUGCCCCCAAGUCCCCUUCCCCCCAGAUUUGAGCUAAGUGAGCUCUCUCCAACGUCGCUGCUAGUUGCCAUUGACGACAUCUACAACGAGGUUGCUGCCAGCCCACAUCUGCGCCGGGUAUUUUAUUGAACAUACCCAUAUCUUUUCCCUCUCAUCUCUCUCUCUAAUUUUAUUUCUUUCCUAGUCUUUUUCUUUCUCAGAUUUUGUUUUGUUUUGUUUUUUAUUUUUUUAAUAAAAAGAAAGUGAUUUUUGGAAGAGGGUGAAUUUGCUUUGGAUAUAUGUUUGCAAGUAGAUAUAGCAGCACGAUGGAGAAGAUUGAGAGAAUGAGACUUGCAGGUUGAAGAAGAGAAGCGAAUGAUGGAGAAUAAGAGAAAUAUGCUUUCGGGAGAAGAAAGAAACAAAGAGGAAAUGUGGUGAUUUCAGGCUGAAGGAAGAGAAAAAAACAAGGGAAACGCAAGUGUGAGAGUUGGUAAAAUAAUAAAAUAUAGAUUUGGUCUCUGCACAGUAGCUAUCCAAAUAUAGUGAGGGGCAUGAAUUUACUGUAGAUGAAGUUUUAAACUUUUCACGUAUAACUAGUCUGAUACAGAGGAAAAUAAUCACAACAUUCUAAAUUUUGGACUUGGGCAAUGGCGAGGCCAUUAUUAAUGCUUUUAGCACAUGGACUUAUUCC